AUUGAACGCUGGCGGCGGGCCUAACACAUGCAAGUCGAGCGGAGGAAGGGAGCUUACUCCUGGAUGCAGAGUCGGACGGGGGAGUGAUGCCCACGAUUCUGCCGGGUAGCUUAGGAUAACAUCCCGAACCGGACGCUAAUACCGCAUAGGUCCUGACGCAGAACGAGGGGGAUCUUCUGACCCCACGCGAUCAGCUGAGCCUAGGUCGGAUGAGCUAGUUGGUGGGGUAGAGGCUUACCAUGGCGACGUACCGUCACUGGUCUGAGAGGAUGACCAGUCACACUGGAACUGAGAUCCGGUCCAGACUCCUACGCGAGCCAGCAGUGGGGAAUAUUCGACGAUGGCCGAAAGCCUGAUGUAGCAAAGCCGCGUGGGGGACGAAGGUUCUCGGAUCGUAAAGCUCUUUAACUUGGGACGAAGAGAAGUCCGUUAAAAGCUUGCUGUUUUGACGUUACCCACAGAAAAAGCAACGGCUAACUACGUG
rnacentral:rRNA from 1 species